GAGAGGCGCCGCGCGGCCCUAGCUGCCGCACGGGGCCACAGCGCCACCUGCCGCUGCGGAGGAGAGGCGGGCGCCGGCGAUUACCCGCCGUUCCCAGGCGUCUCCUGGUGGAUUCCUGCGCUUUACCACCCAGCCCAAGGCAGGCGGGCACUGCUCUUCAUACAGCGGUCUCACCAAGGCGACCCACUUCCGUUCGGCCUUGGACUGUUUUACUCUCUUCCAUUCCUGAUGCGCUGAAAUCCUCAUUUCUAGGGGAUACGAAAAUGAUUUCAAUGCUUACUGUGGGCUUAACAUAGUGCAAGUGCUGGCGGUAAAGUGACGACGAGGACGGACAUGGUCCCUCGACGGAGUCCAUCACGUGGUGGGGGAAAGACGUUCACUGACGAGGUGACUGGAAGCUGGAGAGGCUGCCGGACACAAAGACGAUUAAGACACAAGUCCUGCCUUCAAAGCGCCUGUCUACAACCUGGUGAGAAGAGUCUAGAUAAACUGACCUGUAUUUUCAUCUACCUAAAGGGAAAGAAGCAAGAUCAUUUAGCUCAGGGUGCUAAAAAGGGGGUAACUUUACAGAUAAGCUUUCUUUCUUUC